GACACAGGUGGACAGCUCUGCUUGAGCCCAUCACAUCCAGUGUGAGUGAAGUGACAGUUCUAUUGCAACCAGCUUGCCCCAGAAAGAAAGCAUCUCAUGGAGUGGUGCCUCUGGAUGAAGAGAUGGACAUAUGCUCUGAACUGUAUUCUGGACUGCCGCUGACCAUCAGAGAGAGGGAGAGAGGGGUCCACUGUGAUCUGAUUUUACACAAGAGGAGAAACCCCAAUAGCACCACUCAGAGAGCAGGCUCUGCUAUACCAGGAGCGGUGGCUCACUCAAGAACUUACCAUAAAAGUGAUCAAAUCUCUCCUGCCUCAGACAGGGCAGCUACAGUGAAUCCAGCUCCCACCUAGGAAGAGGACUGUGGCGCCGUGCAUCGACUCUUCAUCAAAUAUUUUAGAGGAAUCACUGAACUGUUUUUCUCAGAAGUCGAGUCACCUUACAGUCCCACCAGUAAAAUUUCUCAAC